UAUGGGUAGAUACAACAUUUCUUUAAUUAUAAGUUCUGUUCCCCAACAGUAUCUCUUAAGCUUCUGGCACUCCCCAUACCCAUUGCAGAGAUUGUAAUUGGUGAGCUGUACCGGGACAGCUGUCCAAUACAAUGGUACAUACCUUUCUACCUGGUGGUGGCAGGAAUCUUCACCUUGUCCCUGGUGCUCCUGACCUGCCUGCCCUGCCAUGACCACCACAUCCGCUACAUCUGCAACGCAUGGAACUUCACAAUCUCCCAUUUCUUCUUGCUUUGGCUCAUUGCUGGCACCAUGUGGAUCUAUCCACUACACCAGCCCAACUACAAUCCAGCUGCAGGGCCCUACUGUGAUAAGACUGUCUACCUGUUUGCAUAUUGGAUAAACACACUGAAUUUCCUAGUGGUAAACAAACCCAGGGUUCACUUGAACGUCUUCAUCAGCAUUCAUCCACAAUGGGGAACGCACCGUCAGAGAGCAAUAUGGGCGACAGCUUGAGAUGCUGCAAGUGUAACACAGUCCUGCCCCCAUGUGGUUCUUAUGACAAUUACCUUAAACAAACUUUGCAUGAGCGCUUUGUCUAUGUUUACAACGGAGGACAAUACUUCAGGCCAGUUGGCCAUGACAAUGCAUAUGAGUGCUCAAACUGUUUCUAUAAGCCAAUCAGAGAUCGGGAAAGAAUCCAGAGAGAGGAGGAGGAGAAGAGAAGAGAGGAAGAGAGAAAG